rnacentral:lncRNA from 1 species
UGAAAGCCAGGCCACUGACUGAAUGAUUAAGUCUGUGCUGGACAUGACAAUGAAUUUAACCCUCUUGCCAGCCUAGGAGAGCACACAGAUGCAGGAAGAGGAUUGAAAACCUACUUUUCAAUUUUCUCUUCUUCCUCACCCCUGCUCUAAUUUGCCUGACCUGUUUCCUUUCAAAACCUUGCUGUUAUCAGUACCUUGUCCAUUUUCACUCUGUUUCUCUUUGUAGACUAAUUCCUUGCUGCUUCCUCAUGGGAGAUAAACUCAUGCUCAUGUAAGAAGAACAUCUGUCUUGGGCUAGGAGGAGCACAGGAAGAUGCCUUUAUCUCAAGAGCUAGGAAAUAAGGCAACUGUAUUAAAUUGUCAAGGGAGGACAGCAGACCAACAAGGAUGAAGAAGCUUGAAAAAUUCUUCAUUGCAGGGUCCACUCAUUGUCUCUAAUGAUUUGCUGCUCCUCAAAAGAAUGUCUACACUCCCGAUCGCCCCUUUUGCCAUGAGAAAAGUUGAUUUUCACUGAACCUUCAGAGGGUGAAGAGGAAGCUUUUCCUUGACUUCUACACAGGCUGGAAAUAAAUAACCUCCGCUUAGGACACCCCUGGCAGGGGCUUUCCAAACCACUUCCAACCCUGGAGAGAAAGAUAAUGAUGUGCCCAAACAAAUCAAUGGUCCCUACUUGCACCUAUCAAACUGGCCAUGCCCAUGCCCAUUCUGGGCCCAUAUGGAAGCUCUCUUUGCACCUUUUGGUUGACCUCUGAGGAGCAGCUUGGAUACCUUCUUCCCCUUAACACUGUAGAGGCUCUCUGCAACAGAACUCCCUACAUCUCACAGCACCAGCCUCCGUUCUCCUACCAAGUGUGAUUUGUGUGUCUAGCCUUCUCUAGGACUUCUGCCAGAUUGGCCUCUCUUCAGGUACAGCUAGGAGAGCCACAUUCAAAACCAAGAAGAGAAAGGAGUCAUAGAGCCACAGCCAGAAUGUUUAGGAUCCAAGGUGGCUGCCAGGACUCCAGAUGUCACAUCCCUUUCCCAAGCAGCAGGAUGGAGAGAGAAAGAGAGAAGGUCGUCCAGUCUCUCUUUGAAAAGACUUCCUGGAAGAAUUGCACAUCUGCAGAUGUUCCGUGGAGCAUCAUCACCAAAAAUGCACACGAAACUGCCACUAGAAGCAAAUGGAGGAAGCACACAGCAGGACUGGGUGUCUUUAAUUGCCAUUGCGAACGUGUGUCCAUCUGCACCACGUGAAUGAUUUGCGGCACAGCCGGGACCUGGCUCAGUUCUCUUGACACAUACAUCAACUCACAAGCACUGAAGUGGCAAGGCUGUUUGCAGAAGACAUUUAAGGCAAAAAUAGAUUGCAUCUUAAAAGUGAGUGAACUCCUUUAUAUGGGAUAAUCUAGGCACUGAUAUCUUUCCUUCCUAAUCAUAGCAAAAUCUAUCUUAUUUAUUAUUUCAGCUAAAGGAAAGGAAAAAUUGAGAUUUGUGUUUUAAACCAUACCUAGAUAGAUGAUAUCACUGCUGCUGUGAAAAAUAUUUUCAAGUCAGUGAUUUGUUACUUAAUUUUGGAAAUUAGUAAAAACCCUGCAAGUCAUUUUUUUUUUUAGCAUUGUUCUUAGUUUUCCAAUCUGCCCUUGAGGUCUUGCCUUUAAUCAUUAAGUAUGUAUGUUAGAGUUUGCUGCAAGAACAUUGAAACUUCAAAUUUGUUUAAAUUAACAAAUUCAAGGCCAACUAGUCAGUAGAUAGAAUGAUGAGGUGAGAGUUGGUGGCCAUCCCAAGCUCUGUGUUAACCAGGACCAAAUCAUUUAACCACUUCCUUGGCACUUCUAUUUGUUAGGUGAGAAUUAAUUGAUUCAUUUAUUCAGUUGUUUUGUACGCUGGAAGAAAUGCUUCAUUCAUUUAUUUCAUUUAUUCUUUAAGUGUCCAAGUGAUGUAUCAAAUACUGGUGAUUAAAAGAAAUUGCACAAAAUAAGACUUUUAAGCUGAGGAGCUCAGAGUUUACUAGAAGCGACACACAUAUAAAAAGAUGAAACACAGACUAACACAUACCCGGCAAGAUAAGAACCAAGUACAGAGUGCUGGAACAGAGGGUACCGUGUCUGUUUAGGUGGCUGCAAAGAUCUCCAGGACGUACCCAGGUGCAGAAGCCAUGCAGGCAUGAAGCCUGAGGGUUGCAUCUAUGGUAACAGCAGUACAGUGCUAUCUCCAAGGAACAGGAGGACAUUCUGAGAGAGGACAAUGUAGAGUUUGGUGGUACAACGGCAGUGGAUGACAUGGGAUAGAAUAAGAUGAGAUAGAAAUUUUGUGACAGGCCAGGUGCGGUGGCUCACGCCUGUAAUCCCAGCACUUUGGGAGGC